AGUGAACGCUGGCGGUAGGCCUAACACAUGCAAGUCGAACGGCAGCACAGAGGAGCUUGCUCCUUGGGUGGCGAGUGGCGGACGGGUGAGGAAUACAUCGGAAUCUACUUUUUCGUGGGGGAUAACGUAGGGAAACUUACGCUAAUACCGCAUACGACCUACGGGUGAAAGCAGGGGAUCUUCGGACCUUGCGCGAUUGAAUGAGCCGAUGUCGGAUUAGCUAGUUGGCGGGGUAAAGGCCCACCAAGGCGACGAUCCGUAGCUGGUCUGAGAGGAUGAUCAGCCACACUGGAACUGAGACACGGUCCAGACUCCUACGGGAGGCAGCAGUGGGGAAUAUUGGACAAUGGGCGCAAGCCUGAUCCAGCCAUACCGCGUGGGUGAAGAAGGCCUUCGGGUUGUAAAGCCCUUUUGUUGGGAAAGAAAUCCAGCCGGCUAAUACCUGGUUGGGAUGACGGUACCCAAAGAAUAAGCACCGGCUAACUUCGUGCCAGCAGCCGCGGUAAUACGAAGGGUGCAAGCGUUACUCGGAAUUACUGGGCGUAAAGCGUGCGUAGGUGGUUGUUUAAGUCUGUUGUGAAAGCCCUGGGCUCAACCUGGGAACUGCAGUGGAAACUGGACAACUAGAGUGUGGUAGAGGGUAGCGGAAUUCCUGGUGUAGCAGUGAAAUGCGUAGAGAUCAGGAGGAACAUCCAUGGCGAAGGCAGCUACCUGGACCAACACUGACACUGAGGCACG
rnacentral:rRNA from 1 species